rnacentral:lncRNA from 1 species
GCCGUUUCCAGGGCAACCAAGUGAAGUCAAUCAAGAGUCAGUGCGGCAGCUGUGAACUUCAGCGCUGAAGAACCGAGAACAGCAAAGUGUCCGGCUCCGUUCCUCCAGAGUGACUUCUGUGGAGGAGGAGGGAUUCAGGACUUUAAAAGCAGGAGAACAUGGCGGACAGAAA